rnacentral:tRNA from 1 species
GCUAAGAUGGCAGAGCCCGGAAAUUGCAAAAGGCCUAAGCCCUUUCAACAGAGGUUCAAUUCCUCUUCUUAACC